GAAGCUGUAGCCCAAGGAAGGGUUGGUAGCAGUGGGGUUGCAGCACCUGCCUUGGAAGCAGAAGGUCCUGGGUUCAAUCCCUACUGGCAUCU